GCCAUCAUAGCUCAGUGACAGACCACUAAUCUUGUAAAUCAGGGGUCGUGAGUUCGAUCCUCACUGGUGGCU